ACCUCACGCGUUCACGCCACGUGGCCUCAAACCUCACACGUUCACGACAACGUGGCCUCAAACCUCACACGUUCACGACAACGUGGCCUCAAACCUCACACGUUCACGCGGGGCGGCCUCAAACCUCACACGUUCACGCGGGGUGGCCUCAAACCUCACACGUUCACGACAACGUGGCCUCAAACCUCACGCGUUCACGCCACGUGGACUCCAACCUCACGCGUUCACGCCACGUGGACUCCAACCUCACACGUUCACGCCAACGUGGCCUCAAAUCUCACACGUUCACGCCAACGUGGCCUCAAAUCUCACACGUUCACGCCAACGUGGCCUCAAACCUCACACGUUCACACGGCGUGGCCUCAAACCUCACACGUUCACGCUGCGUGGCCUCAAACCUCACACGUUCACGCGACGUGGCCUCAAAUCUCACACGUUCACGCCAACGUGGCCUCAAAUCUCACACGUUCACGCCAACGUGGCCUCAAAUCUCACACGUUCACGCCAACGUGGCCUCAAACCUCACGCGUUCACGCGGCGUGGCCUCAAACCUCACACGUUCACGCGACGUGGCCUCAAACCUCACACGUUCACGCGACGUGGCCUCAAAUCUCACGCGUUCACGCCAACGUGGCCUCAAACCUCACGCGUUCACGCCAACGUGGCCUCAAACCUCACGCGUUCACGCGACGCGGCCUCAAAUCUCACACGUUCACACCAACGUGGCCUCAAACCUCACGCGUUCACGCGGCGUGGCCUCAAACCUCACACGUUCACGUGACGUGGCCUCAAACCUCACGUUCACGUGACGUGGCCUCAAACCUCACACGUUCACGACAACGUGGCCUCAAACCUCACGCGUUCACGCCACGUGGACUCCAACCUCACACGUUCACGCCAACGUGGCCUCAAAUCUCACACGUUCACGCCAACGUGGCCUCAAACCUCACACGUUCACGCCAACGUGGCCUCAAAUCUCAGACGUUCACGCCAACGUGGCCUCAAAUCUUACACGUUCACGCCAACGUGGCCUCAAACCUCACGCGUUCACGCGGCGUGGCCUCAAACCUCACGCGUUCACGCGGCGUGGCCUCAAAUCUCACACGUUCACGCCAACGUGGCCUCAAAUCUCACACAUUCACGCCAACGUGGCCUCAAAUCUUACACGUUCACGCCAACGUGGCCUCAAACCUCACGCGUUCACGCGGCGUGGCCUCAAACCUUACACGUUCACGCGACGUGGCCUCAAAUCUCACACGUUCACGCCAACGUGGCCUCAAACCUCACGCGUUCACACCGACGUGGCCUCAAAUCUCACACGUUCACACCAACGUGGCCUUAAAUCUCACGCGUUCACGCGGCGUGGCCUCAAAUCUCACACGUUCACGCCAACGUGGCCUCAAAUCUUACACGUUCACGCCAACGUGGCCUCAAACCCUCACGCGUUCACGCGGCGUGGCCUCAAACCUUACACGUUCACGCGACGUGGCCUCAAAUCUCACACGUUCACGCCAACGUGGCCUCAAACCUCACGCGUUCACGCCGACGUGGCCUCAAAUCUCACACGUUCACACCAACGUGGCCUUAAAUCUCACGCGUUCACGCGGCGUGGCCUCAAACCUCACACGUUCACGCCAACGUGGCCUCAAACCUCACACGUUCACGUGA
ensembl:lncRNA